CCCCGUGUGGCUCAGUUGGUAGAGCAUGGUGUUUGCAAUGCCAGGGUUGUGGAUUCGAUUCCCACGGGGG
rnacentral:tRNA from 1 species